UACGUAGGGUGCAAGCGUUGUCCGGAAUUAUUGGGCGUAAAGAGCUCGUAGGCGGUUUGUUGCGUCGGCUGUGAAAUCCCGAGGCUCAACCUCGGGUCUGCAGUCGAUACGAGCAAACUAGAGUGUUGCAGGGGAGACUGGAAUUCCUGGUGUAGCGGUGAAAUGCGCAGAUAUCAGGAGGAACACCGGUGGCGAAAGCGGCCAUCUGGACGAGGACUGACGCUGAGAUGCGAAAGCGUGGGGAGCAAACAGG
rnacentral:rRNA from 1 species